rnacentral:rRNA from 1 species
CGCGUAGGCGGCUUUUCAAGUCGAUUGUGAAAUCCCCGGGCUUAACCUGGGAACUGCAGUCGAGACUGUCUAGCUAGAGUAUGGGAGAGGGAAGUGGAAUUUCAGGUGUAGCGGUGAAAUGCGUAGAUAUCUGAAGGAACAUCAGUGGCGAAAGCGACUUCCUGGACCAAUACUGACGCUCAUGUGCGAAAGCGUGGGGAGCAAACAGGAUUAGAUACCCUGGUAGUCCACGCCAUAAACGAUGAGAACUGGAUGUCGGGAGGGUCUGCCUCUCGGUGUCGUAGCUAACGCGUUAAGUUCUCCGCCUGGGGAGUACGGCCGCAAGGUUGAA